GUAGGUGGCAAGCGUUGUCCGGAAUUAUUGGGCGUAAAGCGCGCGCAGGCGGUUCUUUAAGUCUGAUGUGAAAGCCCACGGCUCAACCGUGGAGGGUCAUUGGAAACUGGAGAACUUGAGUACAGAAGAGGAAAGCGGAAUUCCACGUGUAGCGGUGAAAUGCGUAGAGAUGUGGAGGAACACCAGUGGCGAAGGCGGCUUUCUGGUCUGUAAUUGACGCUGAGGCGCGAAAGCGUGGGGAGCAAACAGGAUUAGAUACCCUGGUAGUCCACGCCGUAAACGAUGAGUGCUAAGUGUUAGGGGGUUUCCGCCCCCCUUAGUGCUGCAGCUAACGCAUUAAGCACUCCGCCUGGGAGUACGGCCGCAAGGCUG
rnacentral:rRNA from 1 species